CCGCGCUCCGUCAGCAGGCGACGCUGGGAGGCUGGGGUAGGCCCAGAGCGAGGACGGGCCCGGACUGGGUAGUGGGGAUGUACCAGGGCCGGGUGCGGCGGGAGACGGCCCGGGAGGCGGAAGGUCGCGGACCUGCCCGACAGAAGAGUAGAUGAGGGGAGACCGAGGACGCCCGGGUCCGGGGAGCUUACGAGGAGGCCAGGAUCGCGGGUUCACGUGGGCACCUUGGAACACUGAAGAAGGCAUUUUCCGAACUCACUGUCCUACGGACUUAUUCUCCGCACUGUUUUCGCCUCCUUCGCCCUGUUCUCGUGACUGACAGGAGCAGGGGUCACAAGCAGGCAGCCCGAGAGCUCUGCUCACCUGGAAAAGCAUUUUUGUGUAGCUUAAAUGUGAAGGCCUCAGGCAGUGGCCUGUUGUCCUCCUCCACAUGCGCCCAUCUUCACUCUUUCAUGUGACUGGCCUGUUUUUGAAGGCAGGACCCUGUCACCCUUGGCUAGGCCAGGUCUUAAGAUAUGAAGACAAUGGGAUAACUGAGGCUGAUUUUGCUGUGUGGCCAUUAGACCUAGAAAUAUUGGUGUGAUUCUGGAGUUGAUUGCUCCACACGUUUAUUUAUUUAUUUUCCUUUUUUUCCCUCCUCUUCCUCCUCCUCUAUUCUUUAAAAACGUAUGGAAAUGUAUCCGGCAAUGUUUACUGUAAAAAAUAAUGUAUGGAAAUGACUACAAUUUGCUAAAAUAAAAAUCAUUGAGCACUUAUGUGUGUCAGACACUAUGCUAGGUAUAAAGAGGGGAAGAUGGUGUCCCUAUUCAAAAGAGAGUCACACACACUUAAGUUACAGUGCAGUCAUAAAUACCAUGAUCGCAGUAUGCACAGGUCCAUUUUCUCUAUCUGGGUGAUGGGAAGGUUCAAAACUAAGCUAGGUUUUGAAUGAGGAAUAGUUUCAUUUUGAAGCACAUCCAUUUUGCGAUGCCUCUGGAGCUAUCUAGUGAACAAUUUAGAUGCGUGGUUCAGAAGCUCGAUGGGAGGCUUGGGAACACAGAAUGU
rnacentral:lncRNA from 10 species